UACGUAGGGUGCGAGCGUUGUCCGGAAUUAUUGGGCGUAAAGGGCUCGUAGGCGGUCUGUCACGUCGGGAGUGAAAAACACGGGGCUUAACCCCGUGCCUGCUUCCGAUACGGGCAGACUAGAGGUAUGCAGGGGAGAACGGAAUUCCUGGUGUAGCGGUGAAAUGCGCAGAUAUCGGGAAGAACACCCGUGGCGAAGGCGGCUCUCUGGGACGGUACUGACGCUGAGACGCGAAAGCGUGGGGAGCGAACAGG
rnacentral:rRNA from 1 species